CGAACAAUCAAGUGGCUGGCUCCCCCUGAAGUCUCCCUCGGGAUAGCCAGCAUUGUGUGAUAUAAAACUUUUUCCAAUAAAGCGAAUGAUAAGAGGCGUUAGGGGCGAAACCUCCUCAAACUAAUCUCGAAAUUUAAAUGGGGGAGGAGCUUAACUCGCCUAAACGGAGCUGGGCGUUGAGUGUGAGUGCCUAGUGGGCCAUUUUUCGUGGGCAGAAAUGGCGCCGUGGGAUGAAUCAAAUGUGUCGUCAAGGUGCUCAAUAUGGUUCUCAUGAGAUACCCGAAGAGGUAUUGGUUGAUCCAGGUAGCAGGAUGGUGGUCAUGGAAGACGGAACCUACUUGGCUGCGCGCACCAACUCACGUGCCGAAUCUGCCAGCCCUGAAGAUGGAUGGCUCCGGAGCUUUGGACCUAUACUGGACCGCCAUUGCAGGCAGAGUCGAUAGUGUGUGGUGCGACGGCAAGCCACAUGACUCAGGCGCGGAAUUGUUGUGACGAGUAGGAGGGUGGUGAGAAAGAAUCCUCAAGCAUGAGCCUGAGAGGAGCCGUUACGGGUGCAGAACCUGGUGAUAGUAGCGAACAUUCAAAUGAAAACCCUGAGGGCCGAGGUAGGGAAUGGUUCCAUGGGAACAGCGCUUGGGCAUUUGUCAGGUGGUCCCAAGUGAUUUGGUUAUUCAGUGCAAGGAGGGGGCCUGACAUUGUCAGGAGCGCUGCGGUUGUACUGUUGCAAGGUAGCCCCUUGUAGAGUGAAUAUUCCCGACCCUGCCCACGGAGACACGCGUAUUUUGGCUUCGGUCAGUUUGCACAUGAAGCCGCAACGCAAUCCACCUCGGAGACAUCGGCGAAAGUUCUAGGAAGAACUUUCUUUUCUUUGUUAGAAGUGCACCAUCCUCUGGAAACUGGUUGUCCAGAGAUAGGGGACCGGCCCCCGUAAAGCACCACCUUUCCCGUGGUGUCCGGAACACUCGUGUAGGCACUUGAAAAACCCGGAGAGGUUAUUUAAUUCUGGUGACAGGAAGUACCCAUAUCCGCGUAAGAUCUCCCGGGUGAACAGCUUAAAGCCCUUGAACAAUGUAAGGAAAGUCGGCAGAGUGGAUUCGUAACUUCGGGAAAAGAAUAGGCUCUGGGGGCCAAGUCAAAUCCCCCUAAGUAAGAUACUUGUCGGUCAAGUUGGAGGCUGGUUCCUCCGUUGCCUUGUCUGCUUCGGUAGGUAGGGUUGACAGAGUCACUGAGCUCUGGCCGCAACGGUCGUUGGCAACUUCAGCCAACAGAGUUGCUUGACAAGCGGUAAGCACGGGAAACCGCGUGCGCAAUGCGGAGUUGCUGUCUCCGCAUGGCUUUUAAAGGCUAACCCGGAACUAACACGGACCAGAGGAAUCCAACUGUCUAAUCAAAACAAAGCGUUGUAAUGCUCACUGACUAGUUUUGACGCAAUAUGGUUUCUGCCCAGAGCUCUGAAUGUCAAAGCGAAGGAAGUCAAUCAAGAGCUGUUGAAAGACGGGAGUAACCACGACUCUCUGGGUCGUGGUUGCGGACCAUACCACCUACUUGUAGUCCCUCUAGUUGGGUCUUGUCCGGCCUCUAGCUGGGGCUUGGCCGAACCAAGUGUCUGCUCAGCCCCUGUGUGGGCCAAUCACUCUUCCCACUGAGGGUUCUUGGCGGCGAUUACGGAAACACAUACGAGUUCAAACUAUCCUGACCACCUGCGCUCUCUGGUCCCCGUCAUUAACUCUGGUUUGGCGAGCGGUCCUGCUGGGGUAGCCUUGGGCUGAUCUCCGUGAGAGCAUAACCAGCCGGCGCGAUAAGGUCCUGGGCCGGCAUUCAGCCCGUUUGGCCAUGGAGACGUUAGUGACGAAGACGUUUCCUUAUACUUGGCAUCCUACACCGACGAGCAUUGUUCGACAUGUUCCCUCAUCGAAGCGGGGUAUAAGCUGGCCUCAGCACGCAUAUGUUUAGAACCUUUAUGCAAACCGACGUAAGGACCGUGCUCGUGAAGUCCCUUGUGGUGACUAGAAGGAGGUUCUUUUGCUCAGGUCUGCUCCCCAUUUAGACUUCUUGGCCUACUGGAAGGAUACCUCAAGCCAGCCGAGCCACUUUGGCCCCCGGCCUGUACAGCUUCCACCUGCGGUGCACUGGUCGGUACUGGAUCCAAUCCCAGCACGUGGACUCUCCGGGGCUUUUUGUCAGAUGGGUCCCACUGCUGCAGGUCUGGACUGUUUGCCUGUGCUUUACCUGCCCCCUAUGGAUCAUGGCCGUAUUGCUCAACUCCUCAACUCUCUGCUGGUUCUGAAGACCCCAACUCAACAUCUCAACAUAGCGCGAAUCACUUUGGUUCCAUAGUGCAGCAACCCCGCCGGUCCUGGCAACCAUCGUUCCAUUGCCGUGACUUCCAUCAUGCUAUGGCUACUUCAUAAACUCUUGGCGCGUUGACAGGGGAACCUACUGGCCCCCUCCCAGGCAACUGACCGUCCUUCAACGCGACGGCCGUUCCAGGGCUUCUACGGUGCCACAUAAAGUUCUCAUCUCGGUUCAUACAGACUGCAUACCUACGGCCACUAUCUCCGUGGAAGCUUCCAAAGCUUUUGAUCCGGUUUAUCACGACAUGGUCACACUAGCUGCAUCAAUGUUCGGCCUUCUAUCUCCUGUGGUGGACUACCUCCGGUCGCUCUGUAAUGGCUCUGUGGUCCGACUCGGUGACGAAUCAAUCUCUUGUUUCCAUGAUGUACGGCAAGGUGACCCUUUUGCUCUUCGCUGGUCACUGCGGUCAUGGGCAAGGUGCUUCUCAACUCUGCACCCGCUCUGGGUGUUACUGUUGGUGGUGCGCCUAUUGACCAUUUAGCCUGCGUGGAAGACUUGGUGCUACUUGCGGGAAAUGCUGAUCGUCUCCGGGGGUGCCCUGGGGCCCUCUGGAAGUCGUUGGCUGUGGCUGACGUGCUUCAAUGGUAACAAAUCAAUCGAGCUUGCGAUGAGGAAGGAUGGGAAGGAAAAACGUGAGAUCCUUCGGCCUACCGCCCAAGAGGUCUGCGAGGCCCGGGUACAACCACUGGCAGUUGCUCCGCAAGUCAAGUACUUGGGUCUAUCGUUUACUAGGAAAGGACGCCCACAACCACGGUCAAGGGGGAAGCUUGAAUUGGUGCUGCUCUUCACCACCAAGGCACCUCUGAAGCAGCAACAAAGCUUGGAAGUCAUGUCUCGAGUCGCACUUCCCAAAGCCAAAUCAUGAAUUCGUUCUUGGUAUGGCUCAUCGGCGAACACUCAAGUUUAUGGACGUUAUAGUGCACGCGCUGGUCCGUGCUUGACUUCCAGUUUGCAGGGAUAAGAUGUUCGGCCUCUAUGCCAAACGAGCUUCAGGAGGCCGGACCUGCCCAACCUAUCCACCAAAGCACCCCUGGCCCAGAGAGCGCGGUUGGAACGCUUGGCAAGAUCAUCCUCGAUGCCGGCAGUAUGGCUCCCUCAGCUUUUGUGUCUCAUCAAUUGGUUCGGAAGGCCAAAACACAGGUCCAAGCGGGGUCAUCUGCGGCAAAUUCGAAAAGUGACGUCUUCUCAGCUUGGUCCGCCCAUCCUCUCAGUUUGUCUGUAGGUAGUGGUCUCCGGAACUUCCUGACGGAUCCUGCUAGUCUUCUCUGGUUAGGAGCUGAUGACUUGGCCCCUCCAAGACUGCUCCUGCAAGCGACUUGGCUAGGAGAAGGGGUGCUCUCAACUAAAGUACAUCGGGCGCGAGGAUAAGUAGUCCAUACCGAGGACGUAAUGUGUCGGGGUGGAUGCGGUGCUGUCGGGUCUGCUGAUCAAGUUCUCCAACACUGCGCUUCGGCCCACUAAUUGCAUUGGCAAACGGCGUAACAAAGUGGUCCGUUGGUUGACUUGUUCUUUCAAGGAGAGACCUUCCUGUCUUGGUCUAGCCUAAUGUCCCCCUGGCGCAAAGGUUUUGCAAACCGGACCUUAUUUUGUACAACGGUGACCUCGUACAUUUCCUUGACAUGUGUUCAGUAUCCGGUUAAUCUGCUGGAUCUGCCUGGAGAACUAAAAUUGAGAAAUAAUCUGCUACCUUGGUAGGGGAUUCCAUCAAGCUUACGUUGGGCCAAACUACUGUUACGCUCACACACUGCCCGGUCGUUAUCUCCAACCACCGCCUCCUUCUCAAGCUAUCGGAUUCCGUUUUGCGUCACCUUGGUCUUCGUCCAUUCAACUUGGCUCGUGCUUGUGAACUGUUGCCCAAGGCUCGCUGAAGAUCUACGACGUCUAUAUGAACGGUCUCAAAGAAUGGCCAGACUGAAGUAUUGGACAAUGGAUCGGCUUCACUUAUGACUUCCUGUACGUAAACAUGCCAGGAGGUACACAGCCUAUGCAAAGGAGGCUUGGGACGCGUGUACAGUCCUCUCCAGUCAGAUGCUGAGUGCUCUCAAAAAACAGUCUUGCCUGAUUCCCCCUCCCCCCAUUUUUCUUACUUGAAUUUUUUUCUACCCCCUAUUGUUGUGUGUUCUAACUGGACAGCACAUAAUAUCAUAGCCAAAAGCCCCAUCAUUUAUUAUUGACUCGCAUGAAUGGAUUAAAAAAAUUCCCCCUGUCCCCAUCUACUAUGUGGCGAAACCACAGCCAAGGGAACGAGCUUGGCCAAAUUAGUAGAAGAAGAAGUCCCUUUGAAGAUUGACUCUGGUCCGACUUCGUGGAGGGACAUGAAAGGGGUGUAAUAGGUAAGAGGCCGGUCCUUCAGGUCUCGCAGACGGUGAAAUAGCACCACGGCCACUGUUUUUUGCAUUUUCAGUAAAACAAGAAAUUGCUUUUGGUUUUAAUCACGUACUAGUGCAGUGGCGCACGCCGCGGGGGUUGGUAUCUUAGUCAUCUCAGAGCAGUCGUGGUCUCAGUCGCGGCCUUUGAGUCUGUUUUGAUGUGCAACCCGUUCUGAAGACAGUGUCAAGCGGAAAGUUUGACCGGGGAGGUACAUCUGUCAAAUGGUGACGCAGGUGUUCCAUGGUGAGCUCGGCCGGGACGGAAGCCUGGCUUGGAGUAAAAGGGCAAAAGCUCACUUGAUUUUGACUUGCAAUACGAAUACAGACCUUGAAAGCUUGAACUAUCGUUCCUUUUUAAUCCGAUAUUCAGAGUAUGAUGCAAGGGGUGUCAGAAACGUCACCACAGGGAUAGCUGGCUUGUAGCGGCCAAGCUUUCACGGCAAAGCCUCUUUUUGCCACUUCGAUGUCGGCUCGCCCUAGCUUUGUGAAACAGAAUUCAUCAAGCUUUGGAUUGUUCACUCGAUAAUUGGGAACGUGAGCUAGGGUUGGACUUUCAAGAGACAGGUUAGUUUUACCCAACUAAUGAGUACUUUGAAACAGUGAAGCGAAAGGUGGACUUCUCUAUGGUAAUCCUGUCUGGCGCGAGAGAAGCCGCAGGUUCAGAUGUUUGGUAUAUGUGCCUGGUUGAAAGGCCAGUGGUGCGAAGCUGUCAUCUGAGGGACUGGAACGGAAGGCCUCCAAGUCCGAAUCCCGCCCAGAUAUGCAAAGGUAUGUUCAGCGCCUGACACUAGGCUAGGCUAGUAUACGUAUUCCUUUUGGUGCUUGACCCAUGCUAUGUGCCUGGCUGGGCCAGGUAGGUCUGUUUUAAUGCCGGAUCGAUAGGACCACAACUGUACCCUGGACUUCAGAGUGUAAAAGUCGACGCUAUACCCAAAAGUGGUUUGAGGGUGAAGGCAGUACAUCUUUUGUACGCGGCUUAAUAUUCUGUCGGUGAGACCUGAGUGCAAGGGAAGCUGUCAAACUGCGCUACACUGAGUCUUAUCCCUACCUGGUGCAAUGAUUUGAGGGCACUGUCCUGAUUCAUUAAGGCCGUAUAGGCCCAGGGAGCGCAUCCGUAUAUGUGCAUACAUAUGUAUACUUCUGCGUACACUUCAUUUCAUCUUUGGGUAAUAAGUAUGGGGCCCGUCUGCCUACUUGCUUUUGGGAUCGUAGACAAUUGUCAGUGUCCAUUUGCGCGCAGGUGCGUGCUGACGUGUGGGCUCUCUUUGCUUGGCGUAAGCUAUGCGUGGGUUGAGCUGACUUCAGUCUUGCUCCAUGGACAAAGUGCUUCAACUUCCAUGCAUACGAUGUUAUCCUGCGGUGGUCUGUUUUACAUAUUGGUGUACGUGUUUGU
rnacentral:rRNA from 1 species